rnacentral:rRNA from 1 species
AUUGAACGCUGGCGGCAGGCCUAACACAUGCAAGUCGAACGAGUGGCGGACGGGUGAGUAAUGUCUGGGAAACUGCCCGAUGGAGGGGGAUAACUACUGGAAACGGUAGCUAAUACCGCAUACCAUCGGAUGUGCCCAGAUGGGAUUAGCUAGUAGGUGGGGUAACGGCUCACCUAGGCGACGAUCCCUAGCUGGUCUGAGAGGAUGACCAGCCAAGCUGGAACGAAGAACGGUUCCAGAUCCCUACGGGGGGCAGCAGUGGGAAAUAUGGCGCAAUGGGCGCAAGCCUGAGGCAGCCAUGCCGCUUGUAUGAAGAAGGCCUUCGGGUUGUAAAGUACUUUCAGCGGGGAGGCGUUACUCGCAGAAGAAGCACCGGCUAACUCCGUGCCAGCAGCCGCGGUAAUA